UGCUCUCACCCUACGCAGCCAUUUCCGUUUUAAUUUCCUCCGCGUUCACAGUGCACACUACAUGCACUUAACACGACAUGGGUACUAACCGACUCCGUAAAUAGUCUUGAAUUAUGUGAGAAUUACAAACAGAGCAAGUCAAAUCUACAUUUGAAUUAAUCAAUCAAUGGAGGCUUUGUGGGCGCAAUUGCCCAUUUCGACUUUAGCAAGUAUUUUGAAGAAACAUGUUGGGAGAAUUCAAUAUUUAAUGUUACGGAAGUGUAGAUUCUUACAAUCUUUGAAAUAUAGAUUCAAGGUGUUGUUGACAAAAGAAAAUAGAUUUAACUCUUGAAAGCACCCAUGGUUGGUUCCAGUUCAUAAGAUUCAUCUAAACAGGUGUUGACACUUCUCCGCAGCUUCUCUGCAAAACAUUCUUCUUCUGGAGAAGUAUAAGUUCUUUGACACAUCUAUAUAUCUCUUUAUACACAUACGUUUUUGCAAAGGAAAUUGGUGGGCGAUGAGGUAGUAAGGAACUAUGCAUUACCUUCUAAUUCCAGUGAAAGUGUCAUAUCUCUAGAAGUUGAACGCACAAUUUGGGUAUGAGUUGACAACUGCAUGCACAAUUUGGGUAUGAGUUGACAAAUAUUGAAUGCAGAGGCGGAACUCGGAUUUCAAUUUGUGCAUAGUGUAUGGCCAUUUGGAUACUACAAGGAUUGCAUACAAUACUAAAUGAUGAUUGUGUGAUGAUAUAAGGAGUUUGAUCAACCGAGGGGCACGGCCUUGUAGUGGAUGAAGUUGGCGAAAACCAUAGGAGACCACGGUUAAAAUACUUGCAGCGACACUAAAAGUAAGUUGCACCCCUAAGUGUGUCAGGCAACUAAAGGAUUAUCAAACAUGUACGAAAAGGAUAGAAGGUGAUGAAUUUUGACACAGGACAGUAUUUUGAUUAUUGGCACUACAUUGACAAAUAUGUUGUUGCCAAUUACUAAGCAAUUGACCAUCUCAAGUUACAAAGGGAUAUAAGUUGUUGAUCAUUGUUAUUUUAUGUUGCCUUUUCACUGUGGCAUAAGGCAAUACCAUAUAUUCCUUCCUGUGCUACAGACUCGCAAUCCCUCAAUCAACUUGGUUUCUCCGUGAGUUUUUUUUAACUAUGCAUAUCUUAAAAAGUGACUAAUAAAUAGUGGACAGGAAGAUCGAUGUGAGGUUCCUAGUUUUAGACAGGAAGUUAAAGUGUGAUACAUUUUUUAUUCGAAAUGCGUUUGUAUCUCCGUUGUUAUCAUCACAAUUAAUAUUCAUAACGAACAACAUGAAAAAUCUA